rnacentral:rRNA from 1 species
GUGUCAGCCGCCGCGGUAAUACGUAGGUGGCGAGCGUUGUCCGGAAUUACUGGGCGUAAAGGGCGGGUAGGCGGGGGGACAAGUCAGAUGUGAAAUACCGCAGCGUAACUGCGGGGCUGCAUCUGAAACUGUUUUUCUUGAGUGUCGGAGAGGAAAGCGGAAUUCCCAGUGUAGCGGUGAAAUGCGUAGAGAUUGGGAGGAACACCGGUGGCGAAGGCGGCUUUCUGGACGACAACUGACGCUGAGGCGCGAAAGCGUGGGGAGCAAACAGGAUUAGAUACCCUGGUAGUCCACGCCGUAAACGAUGGAUACUAGGUGUAGGAGGUAUCGACCCCUUCUGUGCCGGAGUUAACCCAAUAAGUAUCCCACCUGGGGAGUACGGCCGCAAGGUUGAAACUUAAAGGAAUUGGCGG